rnacentral:misc_RNA from 1 species
AUGUUAUCGUUACAGUGAUAAAUAAUGAAUGAAUGUGGAAUGUGUCCUUGGGAUCGCCCCACUAUGCUUCGGAGAACACGUAAAGCCAUCGAUACCGAUGUUAUCAUAGACAUAUGAUAGCGAUCGUUACUCAUUAUAAGGGAAGUAUCUACUAAAUCUUAAGGAAGCAACGUGGUUCAACUUGUACAAGAAUGGACUAAGAAAACUCUCGGCGUGCCAACUAUCCCAAUUAAAAAGUCUCUAGCCGUCCGACCUAGAUACAGAGAGCAUCGAAACAAGAUUCCUUGUCUUGCAUACAGAGAACUAUAAAUGUCGUUCAAGUUAAUGGCUUUAAGAAAUAAAUUAUGAAAACUGAAGAUAUUUUAUUAUUGGUAAUAGUUUUGGUUAUAUAUAAUGUUAGAU